UGAGGGGGAGUACAUCAUUAUAGUGACAUGCACAUACAACUCAUAUAGAUGUAGCAACCAUGUCAUCUUUUUUACUUUAUUAAACUAGUUACAAACCCGUGCGAUCAAUAACGUAUUCGAUAAAAAAAAUCUUUGAAAGAAGAGAUGUUAAAACGACGGAACAUUGUGAUUCAUCAUAAAAUAUGUAUGGACUGAUUAAGAGAGCAUAUAAUCAGUUUAUGAGAUUAGAAAUUGAC
rnacentral:lncRNA from 1 species